rnacentral:siRNA from 1 species
UGACCAACCGUAUGCUGUCACGUC